GUCUGCUGAAGCCGCUGCCCUCAGUCUGCCUGCCCGCCCCUUACUUGCCUCCUUGCUCUGGAGGAGGACAGAAAAAGGAACGUAGGAGAGAAAAAAAAUAGAUGAAGGCCACCAGAAGCAUUCGAUCGAAGUUAAUGGCAUUUACUAGGGACAGUGGCUUUGGAAGAAGAGGGUAACAAGACCUGAAUCUCUAGCAAACAGCAGCAACAGAGCAGAAAAAAUUAUAUUGACAAAAUCUUUCAACUUCUUUAUACAUCGUAAAGAAAGAAAAGAACUCCCCUCCCAUUUUGGGUCAUCUUUACUGCAAAAGGCUCUGGAGACAUUGAAAAUAAGUUUAAAAUGCUAUUUUUUUUAAACACAAUAUACUUUGCCUUCCAACUUAAUUGCUUUGGCUUGUGAAUUCCUUUUAUUGCCUAGAAGUUUUCACCCCUUGAUUAUAUUUGUUUGAAGUUUGAACAUUUAAAACUGAAUGCAUUUCUCUCUGCUUAUGUACACUAUGUACAAAUGGCUUUGUGUACUUGGCUGAUGGAAUCUAGCUUUCAAAAUAAUGCAUAAUCAUUCAUUAUCUUUGGCACCCACAUCUGAAAAAUUUGGCCUGAAGCAACUUGCUAAAAACUGCAUAGGAAGUUAGCGCCAGAGCAAUGAUUAGAACUCAGGCGUUGCUGGCUCUUUGUCCGAGGCAUAACACCAGAGCAUGCCCUCAGUAUCUUUUUGUUGUUUUUUUUUUAAAUGUCUACAGCCUUCUUGCUUUGUUUGAGUUACAAUCUGCAUUUACCAAGACAAAACAAAAAAACCUGUGACAUACAAAUUACAUGUUUCUAGCAAGAUUAGUUGUAAAGUGCUCUAUUAUUGUCACCUAAAUAAUCACCCAUUUGGAGUUUAGAAUGGUUCAAUUAGAAAUAAUAUCCAUAUCA